CCUACGGGAGGCAGCAGUGAGGAAUAUUGGUCAAUGGACGAGAGUCUGAACCAGCCAAGUAGCGUGAAGGAUGACUGCCCUAUGGGUUGUAAACUUCUUUUAUAAGGGAAUAAAACGAGGCACGUGUGCCUUUUUGCAUGUACUUUAUGAAUAAGGAUCGGCUAACUCCGUGCCAGCAGCCGCGGUAAUACGGAGGAUCCGAGCGUUAUCCGGCUUUAUUGGGUUUAAAGGGAGCGUAGAUGGGUUGUUAAGUCAGUUGUGAAAGUUUGCGGCUCAACAGUAAAAUUGCAAUUGAAACUGGCAGUCGUGAGUACAGUUGAGGUAGGCGGAAUUCGUGGUGUAGCGGUGAAAUGCUUAGAUAUCACGAAGAACCCCGAUUGCGAAGGCAGCUUACUAAACUGUGACUGACAUUGAUGCUCGAAAGUGUGGGUAUCAAACAGGAUUAGAUACCCCGGUAGUC
rnacentral:rRNA from 1 species